CGCACAUUGCGCCCCUUGGUAUUCCGGGGGGCAUGCCUGUUCGAGCGUCAUUUCAACCCCUCAAGCUUUGCUUGGUCUUGGGCUCUGCCGGAAACGGCUUGCCUUAAAAGCAGUGGCGGUGCCAUUGAGCUCUACGCGCAGUAGCUAAUUUUUCUCGCGAUUGAGUCUUGCUGGUUGCUAGCCAUCAAUUUUUCAUUUCUUAUGGUUGACCUCGGAUCAGGUAGGGAUACCCGCUGAACUUAA
rnacentral:misc_RNA from 1 species